rnacentral:rRNA from 1 species
AAAUUGAAGAGUUUGAUCAUGGCUCAGAUUGAACGCUGGCGGCAGGCCUAACACAUGCAAGUCGAGCGGUAGCACAGAGAGCUUGCUCUCGGGUGACGAGCGGCGGACGGGUGAGUAAUGUCUGGGAAACUGCCUGAUGGAGGGGGAUAACUACUGGAAACGGUAGCUAAUACCGCAUAAUGUCGCAAGACCAAAGUGGGGGACCUUCGGGCCUCAUGCCAUCAGAUGUGCCCAGAUGGGAUUAGCUAGUAGGUGGGGUAACGGCUCACCUAGGCGACGAUCCCUAGCUGGUCUGAGAGGAUGACCAGCCACACUGGAACUGAGACACGGUCCAGACUCCUACGGGAGGCAGCAGUGGGGAAUAUUGCACAAUGGGCGCAAGCCUGAUGCAGCCAUGCCGCGUGUGUGAAGAAGGCCUUCGGGUUGUAAAGCACUUUCAGCGGGGAGGAAGGCGGUGAGGUUAAUAACCUCACCGAUUGACGUUACCCGCAGAAGAAGCACCGGCUAACUCCGUGCCAGCAGCCGCGGUAAUACGGAGGGUGCAAGCGUUAAUCGGAAUUACUGGGCGUAAAGCGCACGCAGGCGGUCUGUCAAGUCGGAUGUGAAAUCCCCGGGCUCA